ACUCCUACGGGAGGCAGCAGUGAGGAAUAUUGCGCAAUGGGGGCAACCCUGACGCAGCAACGCCGCGUGAGUGAGGAAGGUUUUCGGAUUGUAAAGCUCUGUCGAGCGGAAAGAAAUGCACGAUGGCUAAUAUCCAUCAUGCUUGACGGUACCGCUAGAGGAAGCACCGGCUAACUCCGUGCCAGCAGCCGCGGUAAUACGGGGGGUGCAAGCGUUGUUCGGAAUCAUUGGGCGUAAAGAGCGUGUAGGCGGCUGGACAGGUCUGAUGUGAAAUCCCUGGGCUUAACCCAGGAAGUGCAUUUGAAACUGUCUAGCUGGAGUAAGGGAGAGGAAAGUGGAAUUCCUGGUGUAGAGGUGAAAUUCGUAGAUAUCAGGAGGAACACCGGUGGCGAAGGCGACUUUCUGGCCCUAUACUGACGCUGAGACGCGAAAGCGUGGGUAGCAAACAGGAUUAGAUACCCUGGUAGUC
rnacentral:rRNA from 1 species